UAAAGCCCAUUAUCUUCUAGAAUCACCAAUGUUUACCAUUUCUCCAUUAGGGAAUGUUCUGCAUUUCAUACUACACCGCAAUUUGGGAUAUCCAGGUAUUGGUGCCAAGAACACAUAAUGAAAACUGGAUUUCUUCGUCAACUCAGUCUAAAACAGCAAAUUCAUCUGAAAAUCUAUGAAGUCAGAAUGAAAGUCACUGCAAUGCAUCACUGCUUACAAUGCUGUCCCAUGUGCACAUCAUAUUGCUCUAUAAUGGAAGAUUAACUGUAGAAGCUAAGGAUUGAAGUCAUCAUGUUCUGAGACACAACAGCCCUUCCUACAGGAUCCACUACACCUCCCACAGGUACCCAGGAAAUUGUGUAAUUUGAAAUGUCUCACUGAUUUUGGAGCAAUGUCAA